GAUGAACGCUGGCGGCGUGCUUAACACAUGCAAGUCGAACGGGAAACCUUUUAUUGAAGCUUCGGCAGAUUUAGCUGGUUUCUAGUGGCGGACGGGUGAGUAACGCGUGGGUAACCUGCCUUAUACAGGGGGAUAACAACCAGAAAUGGUUGCUAAUACCGCAUAAGCGCACAGGACCGCAUGGUCCGGUGUGAAAAACUCCGGUGGUAUAAGAUGGACCCGCGUUGGAUUAGCUAGUUGGCAGGGUAACGGCCUACCAAGGCGACGAUCCAUAGCCGGCCUGAGAGGGUGAACGGGCACAUUGGGACUGAGACAAGGCCCAGACUCCUACGGGAGGCAGCAGUGGGGAAUAUUGCACAAUGGGGGAAACCCUGAUGCAGCGACGCCGCGUGAAGGAAGAAGUAUCUCGGUAUGUAAACUUCUAUCAGCAGGGAAGAUAGUGACGGUACCUGACUAAGAAGCCCCGGCUAACUACGUG
rnacentral:rRNA from 1 species